GCAAUCUGUAACAUAUGGGAAAGUUCUUGUUCUUGAUGGCAUUCUUCAGCUGACUGAUAAAGAUGAAUGUGUAUAUCAAGAAAUGAUUGCCCAUCUUCCCCUUUGUUCUAUUGAAUCCCUAAAAAAGGUUCUGGUUGUGGGUGGCGGGGAUGGUGGAGUUGUAAGGGAAAUUGCUCGCCAUAGCUCUGUCUGUGGAUUUAAUUGAUAUAUGUGAAAUAGAUAAGAUGGUUAUAGAUGUAUGUGGAUAGAUAAAAUUUAUUAACUGUAAGUAACCAAUGUUUUGUUACAUGCUCAUCAUGUAUAUGUAACUCUUUGUUUGUAAUUGUAAUUUUAGGUAAUAAGAAGUAUUUUCCUGUGUUAGUUGUUGGUUUUGAAGAUCCUCGUGUUCAUCUCCAUGUCGCUGAUGGUAACUUCCAGAUCCCAUGACAUGUUUUUUUUCUUUGUUUUUCUUUAAGUUUGAGAUUUGAUAUUGUGGAAUUUGGACAUCUGUUGAGUUUAUCCGGAAGAUGCCAGAAGGAAAGUAUGACGCCAUUAUUGUUGAUUCAUCUGAUCCUAUGGGUAAGUUUGUAUUGUUUCACUUAUGAUCAUGAAUAUUCAUACAUAUAUGUAUGUUGUGGAAAGUAUGAGGAUGCAUCUGAUGUAUGUAGGUCCUGCUGAAGAACUGUGGUUAAGUUUGUAUUUUUUCGCUUAUGAUCAUGAAUAUUCAUACAUAAUCACAAUAUUCUGUUUUGAAUGUUAAUCAAGUUGUUUAUAAAUUUGAUUUUGCAGGUUGUGUCAUUUUUGUUGAGCAUUUAUGGUUGUUUGUGUGUUUGUGGUGGUUCCAAUAUGAAUUAUGUGAUAGUAUUUGUAAUAAGUAUUCAGUUUUGAUGAUUAGGGAACCAUGUAAAAGGAUUUUCAAUUAUGUAAUAUAUUUAUAAAAAUCUAUGUAAUUAUUAAAAUUAAAUUUAUUGCAAUUGGAUUUUGUUGAA